AUGAUCCUGUGGCUAAACCUGGUGUCCUUAGUAGUAGUCCUCAGAGGUGUCCUGUCAGAGGCCCGUCUGGUGGAGUCUGGAGGGGACGUGAGGAGGCCUGGAGAGUCCCUCCGUCUCUCCUGCCAAGGCUCCGGAUUCAGCUUCAGCAGCUACGACAUGAGCUGGGUGCGACAGGCCCCUGGAAAAGGACUGGAGUGGGUGACAUGGAUAAGCCCUGGUUCCAGUACUUACUACUCAGACAAAGUCAAGGGACGCUUCACCAUCUCCAGGGACAACUCCAAAAGCCAACUCUAUCUGCAAAUGAACAGCCUGAAGCCGGAGGACUCGGCAGUCUAUUACUGUGCGAGAGACACAGUGGGAGGAAAUGAGUCUGAAGCCUGGCAAAAACCUUCCCUUCCUCUGAGCCGCUCUUCGAAAUUUAGUAAUAAAUUCAGGAUGCUGCUAGGCCUGCAAGAGUUUGGUGUGGUGUCACACCAAGGAAGGGGGCAGAAGUCAGAAAACAAGGCCUAA